CCUACGGGAGGCAGCAGUGAGGAAUUUUCUGCAAUGGGCGAAAGCCUGACAGAGCAAUACCGCGUGAGGGAAGAAGGCUUACUGAGUUGUAAACCUCUGUUACCUAAGGAGGAAGAUCUGACGUUACUUAGGAGACGAAGCAUCGGCUAACUCCGUGCCAGCAGCCGCGGUAAGACGGAGGAUGCAAGUGUUAUCCGGAAUUACUGGGCGUAAAGCGUCUGCAGGUGGUUUCUUAAGUCCACUGUUAAACCUUGAGGCUCAACCUCAAUUCAGCAUUGGA
rnacentral:rRNA from 1 species